GACGAACGCUGGCGGCGUGCUUAACACAUGCAAGUCGAACGGAAAGGCUCCAGCUUGCUGGAGUACUCGAGUGGCGAACGGGUGAGUAACACGUGGGUAAUCUGCCCUGCACUCUGGGAUAAGCCUGGGAAACUGGGUCUAAUACUGGAUAUGACCUUUCUCCUUAUGGGGUUUGGUGGAAAGUUUUUCGGUGUAGGAUGAGCCCGCGGCCUAUCAGCUUGUUGGUGGGGUGAUGGCCUACCAAGGCGACGACGGGUAGCCGGCCUGAGAGGGUGAUCGGCCACAUUGGGACUGAGAUACGGCCCAGACUCCUACGGGAGGCAGCAGUGGGGAAUAUUGCACAAUGGGCGGAAGCCUGAUGCAGCGACGCCGCGUGAGGGAUGACGGCCUUCGGGUUGUAAACCUCUUUCAGCAGGGACGAAGCGUAAGAGACGGUACCUGCAGAAGAAGCACCGGCUAACUACGUG
rnacentral:rRNA from 1 species